rnacentral:lncRNA from 1 species
AAGAAACUAAAAUUAAAAUAAUACAAGACUAACAAAGGCCAGAGGCUCCUGACUUGGGACAGGCGCAAAAAUGCGGCGGGGUUAAACAUGUUUGUGAGAUCUCAACCCUCCCCCUAUACCUCUAGCCAAUGUAGAAAAGUAAACACAUAACAAUACGCACAUUAAAAUUCAGUUCAAGAGAAGUCCGAGUCUGAUGUCAGAAGAUGUAACCAAAGAAAAUAAACAAAAUGACAAUAAUACAUAAAUAACAACAGACUACUAGCAGUUAACUGACAUGCCAGCUCAAGACUUC